ensembl:lncRNA novel transcript
CAGUGUUCAACUGGAAUGGCAGGUGAUGUGGAGAAAUAGGCCCAAGGCUAUAUAUAUAUUUGUUGGUGUUGGCUUGUGGUGGCCUUGAAUACCAGGCUAAGGAAUUUUACCAACAUUUUAGGAUCAAACCAAAACUCGUUUAGACUUUAUAAAGCUGGGCAAGGGCUUUUUAAGACCCAGCCCUAGUUUGCUCCUCUCUGGGCGCUGCUCAGUUCGUAGUAUUGACUGCCAGCUUCUCAGAAGAUAGCAGCAAUGAAUCUGGCAGCUGGAACGUGUCUCCGUCCUCUCUGCCUACCCCAGGAGAUUGUGUCUGCACAUGGCUGUUGUUGGACUCUGGGUGAGUUUUCAAUUAUUGGUUGACAGUGUUUUAAGAAGGUUACAGUCCAUCAACAAGAGUGCUUGCUUCAUGGUCCUCUCCUCGCUGAAUCAGCUCUAAGGUGACCCUCUGUUUGGGAUCCUCCUUAACCACUAGGAAGCUCUCAGCUGAGUUUCCCAUCCAACCUUGGUAGCUCUGCAAGGCCUUACAGCAAGUGUUCUGCACACUAAUUUCCCCGGCCUCCUUUUCUUCUACUUUUCUUCUGAUUUGUUUUUAACAUCUUAUUACAGCAUAAAAUUUUAUAAACCAAUACUUAUAAAUGUAAUAAAUAAAAGCAAACAAAUGCUAGCAUACCAUCUUG